rnacentral:lncRNA from 1 species
UGAUAACUUUGUCUUCAGACUCGACAAACUCUGUAUUGUUAUCCUCAUCAUCAGUAGUUUCUUCCUCACUGUCACUGCAGAUUAUAGUUUCUUCCUCACUUAUUUAGUGAACUGUUAGAGCAAAAUAUUAACAAUACCUCCUCCAGCCAGUAUAAAACAGACAUGAAUUUGUAAAAGCUGCCAAGAAGAUAGGAUGUGUGUGUAUAUCGAUUAUCAAGAAUUCUAUUUCAAGACAUUCUAACAGCCCAACUCAAUAAUUUCGACAUUUUCUAACUCAAAAAACUUGACAACAACAACACAAUACCCUGACCUUUCUUAAUUGACAUUCUAACUCAAGAAUUUUGUAAAAAUAAACCUAAUUAGAGACAAUCAGAGACAAAUUUGGAAAGAUUACCUUGGGUUGAGCGGGGCUGAGGACACCGGGCAGCGGAGGUGGCGCGCUGGGCAGAGCUGCGGUGUCGUGCUAGGGUUUGGGGGGAGGCUGGUUGUGUAAUUGGGAGUGAAUGAGGAUGGACAGCAGCCCGCCAAAGUUGAGACUUUUCUACGGUAUGGGGUGUGGGGUCAUGGAUUGGAACAUUAUUUCUACAUGA